rnacentral:rRNA from 1 species
GACGUAGGGGGCAAGCGUUAUUCGGAAUCAUUGGGCGUAAAGCGCUCGUAGGCGGGAAGGCAAGUCCGUGUUGAAAGACCUCGGCUCAACUGAGGGACCGGCUCGGAUACUGUUUUUCUUGAGGCAUUCAGAGGGUGAUGGAAUUCCCGGUGUAGCGGUGAAAUGCGUAGAUAUGUGGAGGAACACCAGUGGCGAAGGCGACUCUCUGGUCUGUCACUGACGCUGAGGCGCGAAAGCGUGGGGAGCAAACAGG